rnacentral:rRNA from 1 species
CCUACGGGAGGCAGCAGUGAGGAAUAUUGGUCAAUGGACGAGAGUCUGAACCAGCCAAGUAGCGUGAAGGAUGACUGCCCUAUGGGUUGUAAACUUCUUUUAUAUGGGAAUAAAACAGGGUAUGCAUACCCUUUUGUAUGUACCAUAUGAAUAAGGAUCGGCUAACUCCGUGCCAGCAGCCGCGGUAAUACGGAGGAUCCGAGCGUUAUCCGGAUUUAUUGGGUUUAAAGGGAGCGGAGGGGGAUUGUUAAGUCAGUUGUGAAAGUUUGCGGCUCAACCGUAAAAUUGCAGUUGAAACUGGCGGUCUUGAGUACAGUAGAGGUGGGCGGAAUUCGUGGUGUAGCGGUGAAAUGCUUAGAUAUCACGAAGAACUCCGAUUGCGAAGGCAGCUCACUGGACUGCAACUGACACUGAUGCUCGAAAGUGUGGGUAUCAAACAGGAUUAGAUACCCCGGUAGUC